ACGGGUGAGUAACGCGUGGGAAUCUACCUAUUGGUGGGGGGAUAACUGUGGGAAACUGCAGCUAAUACCGCAUAAUCCCUGAGGGGAAAAGAUUUAUUGCCAAUAGAUGAGCCCGCGUCAGAUUAGGUAGUUGGUAGGGUAAAGGCCUACCAAGCCGAUGAUCUGUAGCUGGUCUGAGAGGAUGAUCAGCCACACUGGGACUGAGACACGGCCCAG
rnacentral:rRNA from 1 species